UUACGAGCUCAGGCAUUCUGCAUUAGGAGCGUUAGUAGAAGUCCGAAACAGAAGAUUGAUUACCUCUAGAAGUUUCACUACCAACAAUAAUGGGAUUCGAACCCAUGCUUGCAGAGCAGAACGGAUCAGCGGUCGAUUGCCUUAAACACUCAGCCGCCUCAUCUGUUGGACAUUGUUCUGGAAGUAGUACUGGUGUCAUCUGAUGAUCUGACAGCUUCUGGUUAUCGAUGGGAAAACCAGCAACAGGAAAACCAGUUAUAGACUCUCAAAAGCUUCCGUUGUCGACAAGGAUGGGAUUCGAACCCACGCGUGCAGAGCACAAUGGAUUAGCAGUCCAUCGCCUUAACCACUCGGCCACCUUGUCCUCUUGUGCUACCACCUUGUAUAGACUGUAAGAUCUAGGCUAUUUUACAUGCCCUAUUCUUGCAAAAGUUUCCCCGUGGAACCAA